GGCGAGUGAAUUUUUGCACAAUAGGGGGCAACCCUGAUCCAGCCAUCCCGCGUGAGCGAUGAAGGCCUUCGGAUUGUAAAGCACUUUUGGCAGGGAAGAAACAGACUGGACCCGUACCCCGGGCCCCUGACAACUUCUGGCCAAUAACCGCCGGCAUACUACGUGCCAGCAGCCGCGGUAAUAAGA
rnacentral:rRNA from 1 species